rnacentral:rRNA from 1 species
CAGUCGCCACGGUAAUACGAGGGGGGCAAGCGUUAAUCGGAUUUACUGGGCGUAAAGGGCGCGUAGGUGGUUAUGUAAGUGAGAUGUGAAAUCCCCGGGCUCAACCUGGGAACUGCAUCUUAUACUGCGUAGCUGGAGUGCAGUAGAGGGUAGUGGAAUUUCCGGUGUAGCGGUGAAAUGCGUAGAUAUCGGAAGGAACACCAGUGGCGAAGGCGGCUACCUGGACUGACACUGACACUGAGGCGCGAAAGCGUGGGGAGCAAACAGGAUUAGAGACCCCAGUAGUCCCUGUCUCUUAUAC